AGAAAGAUUACAACUGCUCAUGUCGAGAUGAAUUAGUUUCCCCAGCAUGUCAAUUUCUUGGGGCAUGGUGCCAGAAAGGCCACUUUCCCCAAGAUAUAGAAACUCCAGGUUGCUCAUAUUCACAAUUUCUUUGGGAAAAGAACCAUGGAAUUUAUUAGUUCCAAAUGACAAAUACUUUAGGUCCAUGUGCCAAAUUCUCUGAGGAAUACUGCCAGAAAGGUUGUUGGAUCCUAUAUCUAGAUGAAUCAAAUUGUUCAACUUUUCUAUAGAGAUUGGGAUUGUCCCUGUGAGAUUGCAAUAAGGAACAUGAAGCAUUCUCAGCUCCCUCAAUCUUCCUAUUUCUUGAGGAAGGGACCCACUAAAAGUAUUUUGUGCCAUGUUCAACUUUUGAAGGCUAAUCAACUGUGUUAUUUCAGAAGGGAUAAUCCCAGAGAGUUUAUUAGCAGACAAAUCAAGAACAACUAGAUUGGACAGAAUUCCAAUUUGAGGAGGAAUACUUCCGCUCAGGGAGUUGUUACUUACAUUUAGAGUGUGAAUGUUUGUAAGCAUUGAGAAGUUGAGAUUUUGAAGCGUACCUCUUAAUCCAAUAUUUGGAAGAUUUAUUUGGAAGACAUGAUUGGAGUGAUCACAUGCAAUUCCGAACCAAUUGCAAGAAGUGUUGGCAGUCCAUGAAUAAAGAGAAGCUUGACUCUGCUUGUCAAGGCUGGCUUUCCACUUCAGCAGAGCAUUUGCUUUUGAAGCAAUUCCGGAAGAAUUGAAAGCAUAAGAAUGGGGAAAUGCAGAAAACAACAUUAGAAGAAACAACCAAAAGGGUUGUAACUUCAUCGACAGAAGCGUUGGAAAUAUGAACAUCAUACUGAAUUGUUCACACAAUAUUGAAUUACAACGUUAGAGAAAGCUUGCAUGUUAUUCACGGAAUGUGCCGCUACUUAUAAACUAAUAGUCAAUGGUAUAUGACUCAAGUCAACAUUAUUAACUGCAUGUUGGCGUGUUCCAUAAUUUAUCGUCCUUAAUACGGAUAGUUUCUUCCAUGUAAAGAUAUUAAUUUAUUGUCAUAUCACUGUUUAAUAACACAAAUUUAAAAGUAAAAAUAAAUUACUUUAAAAUCGAAAGAGAUAAAAAAUUACUUUCAAAUCUAGAGAUUAUAAAAAUAUUUUUAAAUUUGGAGGACUAAUAUAUUUUAAUUUACAAAAAUUAAAAUGUAAAUUUUGUAUUUGAGUGGUUAAAAAAUCACUUUUAAAUUUAACGGACUAAAAUAAAGUUUAAUGCAAAUUUUAAAGAAUAAAAAUAUUUUAGCCCGAAAAAUCUUAAAAAUGUAUUUUCACAUUAUUAUUUUACCAACAUGAUCUAGAUGUUAGCCACAUUAAUCAUGUUAACAACUAUGAAAAAUCAAAUUUAAAGAUUAAAAGUAUUUAUAAAUAAUAAUUAUCUAUCUUUUAUUAAAUAUAUUUUUAAUCUUUAAAAUAUAUUUUUAUCCGAAAUUUUAAAGUUAAAUAAAUGUAAUCAUUUUAAUUUAAUUAUGUUAACAUUUAUUUUAUACAUCAAAUAUGUUUCGUACUAGAAUUUAAAUUGUGUACAGUUGAAAAAUGUAUUUGACAAAUAAAAAUAUAACGUAAUUGAAAUUGAUUUAAAUGUUGAAAAAAGAAAUAGAAAAAAUAUCAAUAUUUCGAAUAAAUAAUUUUAAAGUGAUUAAAAACAUAUUUAAAGUUUGAGUUGAUUUCUGCAUGAUUAGUAUUAGGUAAAUUCGCAUUAUUUUUUAAUGAAAUAUUGACUUUCCAAGUCAUUUCAAAUGACCCGUAACAUAAGGUUCAAAACUUCAUGUAUAUAAUUCAUUUACAUGUGCUUUACACUCUACUUUUAUUCCUUUUAACUAUUUGUCAAGAAAAUCAAAUAAAUCAUAAACUUAAGAUUUUUUUAAGGAAAGAAAAUAACCAUAGAUAAAUGAAAAAUUAUGUAUAAAAUAAAAAAAAAAUUAUAUCCAAUAAAUUAUAAAAUUUAUAUUUUAUUAUUUUUGAGUCCUCGCAUUUGUCUCCAGUAGUUUUUAUAAUUGAUUUGUGGAGUCUUCUUUCCAUAAUUAUUAUUAGUGUAGGUGUGGUGACACAUAUUCUAAAGUAAGCUUGCAUAUUUGUCAAUGAAAGAUUGACUCAUUUAGUUUAUUUCUAUUAAUAAGUGUUAGUUGUUAGUUUUAUUUGUUAAUGAAAAAGUUAAACUUAUAAUCUUUUUCUUCUUCUUUUUUUUUUUUUUUUACAAACUCUUAAAAUCAAUUUUAUAUUUCAAUCGAGUCUUUCUACCGUACGAAAAUAUACAUUCAAAACUUUAUGACAAAUGCAUCGUAUUUAUCAACUUCACAUAUGUAUAUAUAAAUUUUGAUAUGUACAUUUAAAAUAUAUUACCAAUUAAAAUAUUCAAAUUUAAUAACUAUUAUUCAACAAUGCUUUAAGUAAAUUAUUUGAAUGAUGUUUUCUUUUUAAACCUAAUACGUUUUUUAUUUUACGAAAAGUGACUACCUAAAUAAAUAAAAUUUGUAUAUUUUAGUCAUAAUUUUUUUUUUUUAUUUACUAUUAAUGAAAACAGAUGUGCUACGCAUAUGUGUUUGCUUUUUUAUAAUAGUAAAAAAAAUAUUAUUAUUAUAGUAAUAAAAGUAAAUUUCAAUAAUUUUUACAAUUAUAUUGUAGGUAAUGUAUAUUUUUUUAGAUAAUGCUUUUAUUGUAAUAGUUAAUGAAAUUUUAAAGAAUUAGUUAAAUUUUAGAAAAAACGGUCAACUUGAAAAAAAAAACGCUUAAAAUUGAAAGAAAAAGUUACUUAAAGGAUAAAAUUUGUAAAAUAAUUAUUUUAAUUUAAAAAAUACUUAAAAAGAUAAAAUUAGAAAAAAAAAAUGUAUACACAAAAGAGAGAGACCUCUCUUCAUACAAGUAUAGUUAUAGAUAUCAGUGAAAACACAUAUUCUAAGCGCAUGUGUUUACCUCUCUUCUUUUUAUGAUAACAAAAACUAAUAAGAUUAUGAAUAUUAUAAUAAUAAUAAAAGUAAAUUAAAUUAUUUUUAUAAUUCCAUUGUAGGUAAUGUUUAUUUUUCUUAGAUAGUUUUUAUUGUAAUAGUUAUUAAAGUUUAAAAAAUAGUUAAAUUUUAGAGAAAAAACAAUCAAAUUGAAAAAAAAUUGUUAAAUUAAAAUAAUAAUCACUUAAAGGAUAAGAUUGAUAAAGUUAUUAUUUUAAUUUAAAAAAUACUUAAAACUUAAAAUUGAAAACAGAAUGUAUACACAGAGGUAAUCCUCUUUAUAUGUAUCUGUGUAUUAAAUAUAUAACGAGGGAAACUUUUCGAACAAGAAUUAAACUCGAAGAUAUUGGGUAUUGAAGAUGUACAAAAUGCUAAUUUAGAAAUGGUAGUGAGUUAAAAAAUAAUAAGACUUUAUUAUUUUAAUGUUAAAAGAAUUUAAUAUAAAAAAAAAUUGUUAUAAAUGAAUUUUAUUAUUUUAAAACGUAUAAUUUUUUUAUAAAUCACUUUUUUAGAAUUUUUUAUUUUUUUUCUAAGUGUUCUUGUUCCUAAGUCAUCUGUUUGACGAUCACGAUGUGUCUUUACGAUCACAGCGUCAAGGUUUACAAAUUUACCCGAUUAAUUUCAAGAAUAGAGUAAGUAAGUUUUGAUUCAUUUUUCUCUUUCCAAUCCGAAAUCUGUUUUAGAAUAAUCUAGUACUAUUGCAUGUGUAAUCAUGCUUCUUCUAGUCAUUCUUGGUUCACCUACAGUUCUAAGGACUCUACCCGUUUCCAAUUUGGUGUUUCGUAGGUUCGUCUAGAGAUUCCUUACGUUUCAAGCAAUCGACGAAACGUCCUUUGAAUAGGGUAGUUUACUGUGAGUUAAGGGAAGUUAGACUUUAUAGCGGAAAUUUAUGGUCUAAUUGAAUGAUAAAUUGAUUUGAGUAAUAAUUUAUAUGUUAAUGUUUCUACUAUUUUUUGUCAUGAUGACAAAUGAUCAAAUGAUGUGUGAAUGCUUGGUAUUGAGUGUUUAAAUGUUUCUGCAGUUUUGAUGAUGUAUGAUGAAGAUGUUUGACUGUUUGAAAUGGAAAGAAAAUGAGUGAAAUUGAAAAAGAGUCGGUUACUUGAGUUUUAAGCAUAAAAAGGGGAUGUUAAUUGGUAAAUUUUUUAGGAACUAGUUAAUUGAAGGGUAUAACAGUUCGAGGUCAAUUGGGAAUUCAUUUAGGACUUAUCAAGCUUUCAAACUAGUAAAAUCUGGUAUAAGAGGUUUUGAAUGGUUUGUGAGUGAGUUUUUACAUGUUUUUGGUUAUAACUUUGAGUUUUGAGUAGUGAAAUUGUGAGGGAAGGAUUGUAAACUGUUUUAGAGAGUUUUUGGUAAGUUAGGAGAUCAAUUAGGACUUGUUUAGAAGGCUUAUAUAAGAAAAGUUUGUUGUAGAAGUGAAAAGUGUUUCAUACGUUGAGUUCUUUAGUCAUUUUAGAGGUUUUAAGUGACGAGAAUGUAAAAUAGGAAGGUUGUGAUGAAAUUGAGUUGUUGGAGGGUGCUAACAAGUGUAUUUAUACUUGGUUGUGCAGUUUGUAAACUGAUAUAGAGGUUAGAAAGUGUAGAAUUGAAUUUGGUAGCUUAUAGGAGUGAAAAUGGGGUUUUAAGUGUCAAUUUGAGUUCCAACAGUGUUUACAGAGUUUUUAAAAGGUCUGAAGGGUCCUAGGGGUCUUUAGAAGUCGGGGUAAAGUGUUCAAAGUGAGAAAAUUGAAUUUUAAUUUUAUUGAUAGCGCUAGCGUUGAAAAUGACGAAAGUUACACUCUAGGAGUUGAAAACCAGUGCUGGGAGCUAAUGUUACAACACUGAGCGUUAUUCCUAGGCGCUCAGGUGCUACUAGGCGACGUUGUACCAGUUUUGGACCCUUCUGGAGCUAUUGGUGAGGGAUUCAAAGUUGUUUUCCUUGCCUAUGUUUGAGUUUGAAGGAGUUUUGUGUUGUUUAGUGGUUCUUCUUGGGUUGUUCUUGUGUAUUAAUGUAUAUGGAAUGGUUUCAUGUAAUUUUUGAUGACUUGUUGGGAUUGUUUAUGGUCCUUUGAAGUAUAAUCAAUGUUAUAUAUGUUUGUAUGCAAGGUCAAAGUGAACAGUUAUAUGUAUAUGGUUUCAAAUGGAUCCAUGUACUUACUGUAUGCAAUGUAUAUCUAAAUAUAUGGUUUAUAUGAGAAUGAAAGUGGUGUGUAAUGUAAUAUGAGAAAAGUGUGCUAUGAGAAGAAUCUCAAGGAGAGAUUCUAUAUUAUAGCAUGUUGUAAGAGAAUAUUUGAUAGAGAGAUUGUGGUACCCAGAUAUCUAGAUAUUCUACCAACUAUUUAACUCAUGUAUAGUUGAAUGGGGUGGCGGAGAGAAUGGCAGGAGGUCUUCACCCAAGCCCUCUGAGUUUUAGGAGUAGAAGAUUUACCUCAUGGUGACUAGGUCGAGUUACCCUUGUUUAUAACUCUGCAGAGUGUAAAUACUACCAUAAAUGCAUGCCUGUUGUAGUCUAUAUCAGCAUUAUAUCAAGAUUAAUGAGUAUAGUUAUUUUGUGGUUGAAUGAAUUGUUUGUUCUUGAAUGUUGUUAAUUGUUAAACCAAAUUAUUAUAUGAUGCUUUUCUUGUAUUUAACUUACCUUUACUUUUGUGUUGUCUGUUGUGUGUGUUGUUUUUUCUAUUUAGUUUUCUUAUAUUUGAAUUCCAGCUCUCAGAUAAUAUUUUUUUUUCUAUUCAGUUUUUUACUUUGCAAGUCAUAUCAAUUGUUAUAUUUGUGAGUGAGUGUGGUCUUCAAAAUUAAAGAUAUGUGAGAGGGGUUGUUAGUAUUCGAGUGCAGCUUGAGUGGUACAUCCAAGAAGCUUGACUUGCUUUGUGGUAGUGCACUUGGGGUCGUGCUUCGUGUUAGCUUGGAAUGCUUCUUUUUUGUGCUCUUGUUGGUUGCAUUAAUAUUGCUGGAGAGGGAGGUUAGUAUUUUUUUUUUUUUAAUCUGUUUGCAUGGUUACACUUGCCGGUUGCAUUGAUAUUGCUCAAGAGGGAGGUUAGUAUUAUAUUUUUGUUAAUGUGUUUGCAUGGUUACGGAAGACAACAUGAAUUGGAUAUCGAAAUCCGAAAAUGAACACAUUGGCAAUUGAGAUCCGAUGUAGGGAGCUUCGGAUUUUCAUAUUCGAUACAUGUUUUAUCUCUGUCAAAUGUUUACAUUAUAUUAUUUAUAUUUACAUUAUAUACUUGUUAUAUUAGUUUAUAAUGAAUCUAUGGAUAUUCGUUGUCCACGAUUUCGAACGUAAAAAUCCGAUUCAGGUUUAAUAUGAUAUAUAAAAAGUUAAUUAUAUUACUUAUUUAAUUAUUUUAUUAGUUUAUAUUUAGUUUUAAAAUUAUGUAUUAUUUUGUAUGAGUUUAUAAUGUAAUUAUAUAAUUUUUAAUUAAUAUAAACUAAUUUCUAUGAAUUCAUUAAAAUUAAUGUACAAUAUAGAAUAUCUUGUUAAAGAUAUUGAUAAGCAGACUAUAAAAUAAUUAAAGGAUAAUCAGGAAUAUUCGAAAGAAUAUUUAAUUAAAGAUAUUUAGCAACUAACCAGAUUUUCAAGUAAGUCUGUUUUAUUUUAGGGUUAAAUAUGUUUUUAGUCCCUAUACUUUGGGGCGAUUUUGGUUUUAGUCCCUCUUUCAAACUAAGGUACAAUUUAGUCCUUUAACUUUAGAAAACUCUAAUUUUAGUCCUUUUUACCAAUUUUUUUUAACUUUAUUGGCUAUUUCAAGCACGUUUCAUUAUAGCAUUUGGAUUGUUUACACUGUUUGACACAUUUUUUCUUCAAUGUUAACUGAGAAACGUGCUUGAAAUAACCAAUAAAGUUAAAAAAAAUUGGUAAAAAGGACUAAAACUAGAGUUUUCUAAAGUUAAAGGACUAAAUUGUACCUUAGUUUGAAAGAGGGACUAAAAGCAAAAUCGCCCCAAAGUAUAGGGCCGAAUGGUCAAAGGUGAAGGAGAGCGAACAGUCAAGAUCCAAGAAAAGCAAGCGAUCCGGUCAAUCUAAAUAUCGCGUUCGCCAGGUUAGUCUCUCGGUUCUACAAAAUAUCCACCGAAACAAUUAAUAAAACUAUUUUUGAUUAAGAAUAAACUUAAUGAGUCUAUCGGAUAUGAAAAUCCGAUGUUCUUGGGAUGUCAAAAUCAAUUCAUGUUUAAUGUUAUAUAUAAAAAUUUAAUUAUAUUUAUUAUUUUCAAACUAUGGUGUAAUUUAGUCCUCCAAUUUUAGAAAACUCUGGUUUUAAUAUUUUUUAUCAAUUUUUUUUAACUUUAUUUGUUGUUUCAAACACGUUUCAUUAUAGCAUUUGGAUUGUUUACACUGUUUGACACAUUUUUGCUUCAAUGUUAACUAAGAAACGUGCUUGAAACAACAAAUAAAGUUAAAAAAAAUUGGUAAAAAAGACUAAAACCAGAGUUUUCUAAAGUUGAAGGACUAAAUUGUACCAUAGUUUGAAAAUGGACUAAAACCAAAAUUGUCCCGAAGUAUAGAGACUAAAAACAUAUUUAACCCAAUUAUUUUAUUAAUUUAUAAUUAUUUUUAAAAUUAUGUAUGAUUUUUUAUGAAUUUAUAAUUUAAUUAGAUAAUAUGUAAUUGUUAAAAUAUAAUUCUUAUUAAUGUUUUAGAUUUUUGCAUGUUAAUUUAUUAAUAUUAUUUAACUAGGUUUGUUUUAUACAAAAAUUUGAUAAAACAAGUUAACUUCAUUUUUAUAAUUAUUAAUUUUUUUUAAUAUAAAAAAUGCAUUUUAAAUACUUAAUAUUUAUAAUUUUUUAGAUAUGAAAAUUGAUAUAAAAAAUUUUAAUAAUUUUUUAUAUAGUUUUAAGUUUAUUUAUUUUGGUAUUUUUUUUAAGUUGAUUACAUUCUUAAUAAAUUUAUAAAUGUAUAAUUUAUUGUAUUAGUUUAUGAUUUUAUAAUAUAAUUAUUAAUUUUGAAUUUAUUGUAUUAAUUUUUUAUUUUGUUAUAGGUGAUUAUAGUCUAAAUGAGCGAAUAUCGUUAGGGGAUGAAUUCUGAAAUAAAUUCUACCAUGUUACCAGAAUUUUUGUCCUUUAUAAAUGAGGUUGUUGAAGGAGAUCUGACGAAUCAUUUCACAACAAAUAAAAUUUUUUCCUCUCGUGAAAACUUAAUUGAAUGGGUAAGAAGGAUUGGAUAUGAUCUAGAAUAUGUAUGUUGUUGGAGGAAAACGUUUGUGUUGCUAAGAUAUGAAAGAGGUGGAAAAUAUAGAAAAUACAAACCCAAUGUCCAACCUAGUACGUAUGACACCCAAAAAUGUAAGUGUCCUUUCCAGUAAAGGGAAAAGCCAUCUUGUAAUGGCGAUGAUGGAUAUUCCAAGUGAUAUACGGAUACCACAACCAUGAUUUAGCAGAAACUUUAGUGGGACAUCCUUAUGCUGGUAGGUUUUAUUGGGUGUAUCGAGGAGGAGGUUACCUUGUGGAUUACACAAACACAAAUAACAUCCAACCACAUAAGGGAUCGACACCACUCUUUACCCAAAACCUUAAGGCAUUGGAUUAGUGGGUCUUUCAUAUUAUAUAGUGCUAUACUUUCUCAUUUUUAUCCAAUGUGUGACUUAGACUCACACUUGGAUUCCCAACAGAUAUGACUAAAACCCAAGUAACACUUGCAAAUAUUUUGUUGACUCUCAAACAAAAUAAUUAUCAUAAUGUAACUACAAUAAAACAAGUUUACAUAGUAAGGUAUAUAUAUAUAUAUAUAUAUAUAUAUAUAUAUAUAUAUAUAUAUAUAUAUAUAUAAACGCUUGUUGAGACGGUCGAAAGCUAAGUUGUAAAAGUUGAUGAUGAUGUUGGAUUGCGACAAGUACAUACAUUGGAGUAGAUGUGUGGAGGAUUGAGGUUGUCAGUGACCUCUUUUGGACACAUCAUGAUGCAAUCAAGUUAUUGAAUUAUUUAAUGUUGUUUUGUUAAUGGAUUCGACUUAUAAAACAAAUAAAUAUCAAUGUCGUUGUUAGAGAUUGCUGGUAUGACAUUUAUUGGAUUGACACUAGUGCAAAAACGUUGUUUAACGUCACCCAUUAGACGUCGGUUUCGUGAAAAACCGACAUCUAUCACUGCACGGUGGCAUUAUCGUAAAUAUAUUGGAAAACUAGACGUCAGUUACGCUGUUAGGCGACGUCUAUGACAUCAUAGACAUCGAACAUGCCGACUAUCCGACGUCCAAUUGUCUGAGGUAUGUGAUAAGACAGUCAAUUCGACAUCGGCUAGAAAAGGGCACCGACGUUCAAGUCACUUACAGGAAAUCAAACGUCAACUGGUUCAGCUUUAGACGUCGCAUAGACGUCGGAUCCCCUAAAAACCCGACGUCGACUGGGCGACAAUUUAUGCUGUUCACCUAAUUCUCAGGCACUUAGACGUCAGAUAGUCAAACGGCGACGUCUAAGGCCUGUCUGGAAGGCGGGAAGACAAAAAUUCUUCAAUUUUGACGUCGGCUAGGAGGGGCACCGACGUGAACUACCCUGACAGGAAAUCAAACGUCAAUCUUUUCAGCUUCUUUGACGUAGAAUAGAUGUCGAAUCCCCUGAAACACCGACGUCUAUAGACGUCGGUUUCUGGAGCAACUGAUGCCCCAUUUCAUUUUAAAUAGACCGCAGACUCUUAUCGUCAUUCAGUUUCUCAUCACAUCUUCAUCUCUUCUCCUUUUUCUCUAUUUCUCCUCUUCUUUUACUCGCUUGCGCACCUCUACUUUUUAUCUCUUGCGGCAUUGCAUUGUGGUUUCUCAUAACGUCAUGGUCUUCGUCCUCUCCUGCAUCCUAGGUGUGUGGUUUUUUUUUAUGCUUUACCGUUUAAACUUUCUUUAGUUUUUUAUCGAUUUUCUUGUCAUUCAACUGAUUAAAAUUUGGCUUUCUUUGUGUUGUGUUUUAGUGCAGUUUUGAUCCUUUCUUUGGGUAACAUAGUGUAACAUUCUCCCUUUGCUGGUUUCCUCACAAGAAGAGUGGCGAUCUUUUGAGUUUUCUAUGGCUUUUCGACCCAAAAUGGAACUUGGGUCCUUGUCUAGUUCUCGUGUCACCGUAAUUUUUUUCUUUUGCGGUUGAAUAAUGGGAAGUAGUCAUGGACCCAGGUUCGGUUUUGGGUUGAAAGGUCAUAAAAGAUUCAAAAGACGCAAGCUUUUUUUGUGGGGAAAUUAGCGAGAGGAGAGUGUUGCACUAUGCUAUCGAAAGUUUGGAUCAAAACUGCACUAAAACACAACGCCUUUGUUAGACGUCGGUUAGUGCAUGGUCUGACAUCUAUAAGGAACAUAGACGUCGGUUAGUGUCAUUUACAACUUCUAUAUAUUCAUGUUGUCGUCGGUUUAAGCAUAGGUGGACGUCUAUAUAGAGUAAUUAGACGUCGGUGUAAGUAUAAGCAGACAUCUAUGUAGACGUCGAUCGAUAUCGUUAAUUGACGUGCAUAUAGACGUCGGUUCGGAGGAAUUGCGACGUCCCAUAGACGUCACCCGUAUAGACGUCGGUUGUGAAAGUGACGUUAAAAGCCCAAAUUAACCGACGUUAAAUAGCGUUUCUGCACUAGUGUGACUUCCUUAAUAUAUAAACUUGUUGAAGAGUAUAAAGAGGCUGUCAUUUGAUCUCAAUUAUAAUAUCUAUUGAAUAUAUAUAUAUAUAUAUAUAUAUAUAUAUAUAUAUAUAUAUAUAUAUAUAUAUAUAUAUAUAUUUGAAUUGGAUACCAAAUAAAUAUAUUAAUAACAAUAUUUAAUUGGGAUUACAACAAAAGAAAAAAAUACAGUACAAAAUAGAAAAUAGCAAGUAAAACCAAAUGUUGUUUAAUAACUUCACUCUUUACUUACGCACGUAAGUUGAGAUGUCGAGUCCAUCAAUUGAAGAUGAGCUUUAAACUACAAGCUCAUUGACAACCUCCUUCAUAGUAGGGCGAGAUUGUGGACUUUCAGUCAUGCAAGCAAGUGCUAUCUUCGCAACUGAUGCCACCUCUUUAAGUAAAUGUUUUGUUGGAGGAGGGAGACGCUGCUCCAACUUAUCCAUCAAUGUCAUAUGAUCAACAGUGGACGAAGAUGAUAAUAAGGAAGAUAUAAAAUCACCAGGAUGCUUUCCCAGAAGUAUUUCCCAUGCCAAUACUCCAAAACUAUACACGUCACAUUUUUCAUUCACUUCCAUUAUGUAUGCAAGUUCUGAAACAAACUAAAAAGCUGAUAUCAUAUGCAUUAAAGGAAAAUAUAGUGACAAAGAUAAAAUAUAGAUAAUUGUGACCAACAAAGAAAAACUAAAAACUAUGGUACAAGGAAAGAAAAUUGACCUGGAGCGGCAUAUCCGAAGGUUCCUACAAAUGAGGUCCAAUUGGAUGAAUUGGGAUUAAGAAACUUNGNUGUUCCGAAAUCNGAGACAUGUNCCACAUAUUCNAAAUCCAAAAGGACAUUUUUACUUGAUAUAUCACGAUGAAUAAUUGGUGGUGAGCAAUCAUAAUGCAUGUACAAUAAAGCAUUUGCUACAUCUUUAAUAACAUUCACUCUCUUAUUCCAAUCAAAAGCAAUUGCUUGUUCAUCAUCCUUCAAAAUAUUCUGGACAUUGCCCUUCUCCAAGAAUUCACACACCAUAAAUGACCAUUGAGAAUGUGAACAAAACCCAUAUAACUUUACAAUGUUACGAUGCCGAAUUUCUGUCAGAGCUUGGAUCUCACUUGUGAAAGCUUUCACAUUGAGGUUUUCUUCAUUUGAAACUGAAUGAAGUUUCUUUACAGCCACAACUUGACCUGAGGAUAACACUGCUUUGUAAACUUGUCCUUGCCCUCCAACUCCAAUGAGAUGCUUAUCGUCAAAAUUUUCAGUGGCUUCAACAAUAUUCUCGAAUACCAUUUUGCCAUCAAAACUCCAUAUUGCAAAUGUGUUUGAAGUUUGCAAAUUGGUAGGUUGAUCUUCCAGUUUCGCUGAAGUUUUGCAUAAAUAAUAAAAGACUCCAAAAAUAAAUAAUGCUAGUAAUAGACUGCCCAAAGUAAGGGGUAAAACCACUAUUAUGACUUUCUUUGUCGUUUGAUUGUGCGACUUUCGACCUAAUGUUGGGCAAGGCUCCAAGCCACUAAUUUGGCCACACAAGCCUUUAUUAUUUCUUAUAGCUUCCAUUGUAGCAUUGCGAAACACUGGAAUGUUUGGAAGUGGACCCUCAAAAUCAUUGUAAGAUAUAUCAAUAGAUGUCAAGCUCAUCAUAUCAUCAAAGCUAGAAAGAUCACCUGAGAGACUAUUGUGAGAGAGAUUCAAUGUUUCUAAUUUUUGUAAUCCUCCAAGCACAUGUGUUAAUCUUCCCCUCAAUAAAUUUUCACUGAGAUCAAGAGUUGUAAGAGAUAUUAAUUUGCCAAGCUCUAAGGGAAUAUUUCCCUCAAAUUUAUCCAGGCUCAAAUUCAUGUUCCAUAAAUUGAAUAAAUUUCCAAGUUGGAUUGGAAUUGAGCCAGACAAAUUAUUAGAUCCAAGACUCAGAAUUUGAAGAUUCUUCAUUGAUACAAUUUCUAUUGGAAUAUUUCCUGAAAGAUUAUUGUUGUUGAGUGAUAGAUCAUAUAAUAAGACCAAAUUACAUAAAUCUCGUGGAAUGUUUCCCGUAAGAUGAUUUGAGAAUAAAUGAAGUGCUUGUAAUUUGGUUGCCCCGCCUAGCUCUGGUGGGAUAAGACCUGAUAAGUUAUUAUUUGAGAUCUUGAGGCUUGUGAGGCUGCGGAACUUCCCCCAAUUUGGUGAAAGAUGACCAUACAAAUUGUUUUCACUCAAUUCGAUGUAGUCCAAGUUUGGAAGUACACCAAAAGCAUCUGUUAUGUUUCCAGUUAGUUGAUUUCCCUCAAGUCUCACUCGUAUAAGGGUAGAGCAAUUCUUCAAACUCUCUGGAAUAUGGCCAGUGAAAUGGUUAUUCCUAGCGGAAAAUUUUGCCAACUUUCCACCAACACAAAUGUUGUAAGGUAAAUGGCCAACAAAAUUAUUAUCACCUAGCUGAAAAUUUUCAAAACCUAUAAUCAUGUUUAUUUCUAUUGGAAUCUUGCCACUGAGAUUAUUGUCAAAUAAAGAUAAUUCACGAAGCUUCGACAAAUUUCCAACAGUGGAAGGAAUGGAUCCAGAGAGGUUGUUUUGAUUAAGAUAAAUGGCUUUCAAAUUGACCAGGUUACCUAUGGAAGUAGGGAUUGGUCCAGAGAGGUUGUUUUGAUCAAGAUAAAUGGCUUCCAAAUUGACCAAGUUACCUAUGGAAGUAGGGAUUAGUCCAGAGAGUUUGUUUUGAUAAAGAGAAAGAAAUUCCAAAUUGACCAGGUUACCUAUGGAAGCAGGGAUUGGUCCAGAAAGAUUGUUUUGAUAAAGUAAAAUAGAUUCCAAAUUGACCAGGUUACCUAUAGAAGUAGGAAUUGGUCCAGAGAGAUUAUUGCCCAGCAACUGGAUUGUUAGAAGGGAAUGCAAAUUUCCUAUUUCAUCCGGGAUAAAGCCAGAGAAUUGGUUGUUAUAAAGGUAAAGAAAACUUAGAUUGCUCAAGUUUCCAAUUGUGGAAGGGAUUUUACUAGAGAGAAAAUUCUCAGACAAAUCAAGUUCACUGAGUUUUCUCAAAAAUCCAAUUUCAUGAGGAAUAAAACCUGACAAUCGGUUUCCUUUAAGGUAAAGUUUGUUUAGAUUGCUCAAAUAUCCAAUUUCACGAGGAAUAGAGUCGGAGAGAUUAUUACUUUGAAGAUAUAGCAUCUUGAGGUUUAUCAACUUACCAAUUUCACUAGGAAUAUGACCAGAAAGUUGAUUGUCAUGUAAGCUGAGAAGUGAUAGAUUGGUCAAAGCUCCAAUUGAAAAAGGUAUGGACCCAAAUAGACCAGAAGAACUCAUGUCAAGCUCUAUUAAUUUCCCCAACAUCCCAAUUUCUUGGGGGAUGGUGCCAGAAAGGCCACUUUCCGCAAGAUAUAGAAUCUCUAGGUUCCUCAUAUUCACAAUUUCUUUGGGAAUGGAACCAUGGAAUUUAUUAGUUCCAAAUGACAAAUGGUCUAGGUCCAUGUGCCAAAUUCUCUGAGGAAUGCUGCCAAAAAGGUUAUUGGCUCUUACAUCUAGAUGAAUCAAAUUGUUCAACUUUUCUAUAGAGAUUGGGAUUGUCCCUGUGAGAUUGCAAUAAGGAAUAUGAAGCAUUUUGAGCUCCCUCAAUCUCCCUAUUUCUUGGGGAAGGGACUCACUGAAAGUAUUAUAACUCAUGUUCAACUUUUGAAGGCUAAUCAACUGUGUUAUUUCAGAAGGGAUAAUCCCAGAAAGUUUAUUAGCAGACAAAUCAAGAACAACUAGAUUGGACAGAACACCAAUUUGAGGAGGAAUACUUCCAUUUAGAAAGUUGGUACUCAGAUUUAGAGUGUGAAUAUUUGUAAGCAUUGAGAAAUUGAGAUUUUCAAGCGUACCUCUUAAUCCAAUAUUUUGAAGAUUUAUUUGGGAAACAUGAUUGGAGUGAUCACAUGCAAUUCCGAGCCAAUUGCAGGAAGUGUUGGCAAUCCAUGAAGAGAGAGAAGCUUGGCUCUGCUUGUCAAGGCUGGCUUUCCACUUUAGCAGAGCAUUUGCUUCUGAAGCAAUUCCAGAAGAAUUGAAAGCAUGAGAAUGGGUAAAUGGACAAAAGAACAUUAGAAGAAUCAACCAAAAAGGUUGGAACUUCAAGGACAGAAGUGUUGGAAAUAUGAACAUCAUACUGAAUUGUUCAUACAAUAUUGAAUUGCAACGUAAGAGAAAGCUUGCAUGUUGUUCAUACAAUGUGCCGCUACUUAUAAACUAAUAGUCAAUGGUAUAUGACUCAAGUCAACAUUAUUAACUGCAUGUUGGCGUGUUCCAUAAUUUAUCGUCUUUAAUACGGCUGUAAGUUUCUUCCACUUAAAUUUAUUAAAGGACUAAAAUAUUUUAAUUUGCAGAAAUUAAAAUGUAAAUUAUAUAUUUUGAGUGGUUAAAAAAUCACUUUUAAAUUUAACGGACUAAAAUAAAGUUUAAUGCAAAUUUUAGAGAAUAAAAACAUUUUAGCCGGAAAAAUCUUGAAAAUGUAUUUCCACAUUAUUAUUUUACGGACAUGAUCCAGAUGUUGUUAGCCACGUUAACCAUCUUAACAACUAAUGUAACGAUAUUAUAUUAUUGAUGAGGAACAAAAGGAUUAUUUUUAGAAUUUUAAAAUUAAAAGUAAUUUUUAAUUUAGGAAUCUAAAUCAGAAAAAAAAAAUCAAAUAUAAAGAUUAAAAGUAUUUAACGAUAAAGUUGUUAUUUAUGUUUGAAUUAAAUAUUUUUUUUUAAUUUUUAAAUUUUGAUCUGAAAUUAGAAUAUGUGUCUACUUAAAAUUUUGAUUCAUUUUUAUCCAAAAUUUUAAUAAUAAUAGAUAUAUUUAUUUUAAAUCAAUUAUUUUUGUGAGGAAAAUGAAAUAAAUCAUAAACUUAAGAUUGUUUUUUAAGGAAAGAAAAUAAUUAUUUAUAAUAGAAAAGUUGUGUAUAAAAUAAAAAAAUUAUUUCCAACAAAAUUAUAAAAUUUAUACUUUAUUAUUUUGGAGUAAAAAGAUGUAUCUCGCAUUUGUCUCCUGUAAUGUUUAUAAUUGAUUUGUGGAGUCUUGUUUCCACAAUUAUUAUUAGUGUAGGUUUUGUGAGAUAUAUUCUAAAACUUGCAGUUUUGUCAAUGAAAGAUUGACUUGAGUACUUUUUUUAUUGACAAGUGUUAAUUGUUCGUUUUAUUUAUUAAUGAAAAAUAAUUACACAUAUUUUUACGCUGUAAAAAUUCUUUAUCUUUAAUAAUACAUCGUCUAGUCUUUGAAAAAAUUUCUUAGUAACAAAUCUUUUGUAUUAAUCAAGAUUCUCUCUAAAAGAGAUUUUCAAUUUGUACUUAUUUAAAAAAAAUACUUUAUUAUUUUUAUGAUUUAAAACAUUUGUUUGUUUAACUUAAAAAAAGUUAAAUGGUUUUAGUCAAUUGAGUUAUUGUAAUACUAAGAACGGUGAACCAAAUUGUAAUUUUUUAAAGUUAGUGAAACUUUUUAAGAAUGUUUGUGCUUAAAAGAGAAUGGACUUUGUCAAUUGGAGUGAACUAAUAAUGACUAAGGAUGAGAUGUCUUUUUUAGAUAGUUUAAAUGAAUGCAUAUUUAUUAAAUAAGAGAGCAUAUUUUCUAUAAUAAAUGGACGUUAUAUGACUUGUUAGAUUCAUCGUUGCUAAUUCAAUAAGCGACAUAUUAGAAGACAUUAUAUUAUAUGUUAUGUGGAAACAUACUUUUUUGCAUGUGCUUAUGUGUUGUUGGCAUACAACAUGGAUAAUAUAUUUUCAUGUUAUUUUGCUUGUUGUAUGGUAUAUGUUAUUGAUGGGUCGGUCCAACUGAUGCGUUAGGCAGAAGUCAGUCAGAGCAAAUGGUUUUGUAUAUAAUGGGUCGAAAUUGGUCCAACAUCUGAUUUACUAGACCGUAACAAGACCAAUGCGUAAAUUAUGAUUAGGAAGCCAAUAAUUAUUAUUGGAUUAUAACUGGCAGUUAGCAAAAUAAUAUAUAGAAAAGAAGGUAAGACAAUUUUAUUAGAUCCGUAAUAGUUUAAGAUCCAACAGAUAGCCUAUAAAUAAAGGGUUAGACCAUUAAGAUACGCAAGUUUUACAAAAUUCUGAAUGUACAAUAUCUGUCAAAUAUCAUCAUUAUUCUCAAGCCUGUCAUUGACUUAAGCGUCGGAUCUGAAGUGCCUUUAACCGACACCUCUCCCCGAAAUUGGACUGAAAGAACUUGAAGUACGAGAUACAAAGGUCAGAUGGCAAAGACAAAAAUGUUAGUCUCUUAGUCCUACAUAAAAUAUAUACAGAAACACUUGUGUAUAGACUUCAUUAUACUUUCAUUAUUGAAAGAAAAAUGCUUACGGAGAAUAAAUCAAAUUUAGAAGAAAAAUAUAUUUGGAAAACUUUGUAAAAUACAAUAUCACUUUUUUUUAUUCACUGUUGCAACAUUAUGUGUCAAAACAAGAAUUUUUUGAUCAACUUAAAUUCGAGCAUGCUUUUCAAAGCCUUGUGUCUUACAAAGCCUUCGUAGUGACAAAAAUCCAAACAACUUUGCAUUGUAUAAUUUUUUCAGACUUGAAGAAUCCCUUAUCAAUCAUUUCAAACGAUGGUGUACACCCAAUUGCAUCAUCAAUUGUUAGAUAUGAUCUUUUAUAAAAUAAUUUAUUAUUAUUUUGAGUAUAUUUUGUAGCAUUAGUUGCCUAAAGGUUAACCUCAAUUAUAGCUUGUCAGUUAUAAUGGCAACCUAAAUUAUAGCUUGAAAUUUGUAUAUAUUCCUUAUCAAUGAAUAUGCAAAGCACAGAUGAUUUUCUUCAUGGUAUCAGAUUAGGUUACCUUCCUCAAAUCCUAAAAACCUAGUCGUCAUUGUUCUUCUCUUCUUCCAAGCAAUUUCUUUUCCCCCUUCCUUCUUCCCAUUGUUGCCCAUCAAUGGCCGAAAAUUCCAAAUUUCACUCUGCCCUAGCUGUCACCAACGUGAAGCAUCUUAUUCCAAUCACCUUGGACAUGGAAACCGGCCAAUAUCACUCAUGGGCAACCUUAUUUAAGGUCCAAGCUAAAGUUCAUUCAGUGCUUGAACAUAUCAUCCCUCCACCGGAUGAUGCAGCCAUAACAACAUAUCAAACAACCAAGGCCGUUGAUAUCCCACUAUGGAACCGUCUUGAUGUUGUUGUACUUCAAUGGAUUUAUGCGACUAUAUCUCCUUAUAUUCUCACAUCGAUCCUCGUGGCUGAUGAUUCGGCUGAAAGAGCCUGGCAGCGUGUCGCUGAUUUAUUCCAAGAUAACAAAAACUCUAGGGCGAUGUAUCUUGAAACUCAGUUCACAAACACGUGCUUGACUGAUUUCUCCUCAACCUUCGCCUAUUACAACCACCUCAAAUCUCUUGCUGACCAAUUAUCUAACGUCGGGGCUCCUAUUUCAGAUCAACGUUUUGUGCUCCGCUUGCUCGCUGGAUUAACUGAAGCCUAUGCUAGUUUUGUCACGGUUAUGCAACAGAAAGAUGAAUUGCCCAGUUUUGCUACAACAUGUUCUUGUUUAAAGAUGGAAGAGACCACGAUUAAGGAGUGAGCAACCCGUGAAUCUGGUUCCACUGCCCUCUUAACCGUGGAUGAAGGCUUCUUUUCACAGCCGCAACACCAAAACAACAACAUCACUUAAUCACAGGGUCGUAAUAAUACCAAUCGAGGCAAGAAAAACAACCGAGGUAGAAGAUAUGUAUCUUGUUCUAUGUUUGAUUAUGUUGAUAAAAUCAGUAUGUAUGUAUGUAUCUUGUUAUUAUGAUUGUUUUAUCGGUAGCUUACCCCAUACAUGUUUGUGUUUGUGUGUUAGUGAAUGAAAUUAUCGGUGAUGAUCGUAUAAUUUGUUACACAUGAGAAAAUAAUAUUACAGAUGUUCCAAAGGCGUGAUUGACUAGAGAAAGGAUGCAAAAUAACCUUGGGAUUCAUUUAAAGCUAUUUUGUUUUACAAGUUAAGACAAAUUGGAGUAUUUCCUUUGUUAUUUUAUUACUCGAAAUAAUGUAAUUGGAUAAGGUUUUCUUUAAGUACGUUUUUGUGUAAUGAUAAAGUUUUGAUAUUUACCAAGCUUUUGUUAAACUGCGGCAUCCCAAAAAUUGGGGUGUUACACUUCCUACACCUCCAACUCCCUAAAAUGUCCCUAGUAAAUGAGGUUUGUAAGUAGUAAUUGUUGCUUACCGAAUUUGAACUUCCAACCACUACUUCAUUCACCGUCAUCCCUUUUUUCCUCCUUAUAUCCUCUUUCUUCAUUGUCAUUUAUUUUGUUUUCUUUCUUGUUGUGGUCCAUUAUUGUUUCAAUUGUUUUAGUGUGGCUUUUCUUUGUGGUGCAUUUGUCAUGGUCCAUUUUAGGUGGGGUGUUUGUGGUUUGUGUUCCUGGUGUUGGUGUGUCUAGUUCAUUUUGUCGGGAAGAAAUAGUCAUAUGCUGAUAUAUCUUCGUCUUCAUGCAAGCUUUCACUGCCUUCAAAAGCUUUCUCUGUGUGAAAAGCAAAUGCAUGAAACCUAUACUCCAAUUCGCAGGGUUCAAUGGAUUUCGAAAUCCCAUGAGACCUCAAAGAAUUUUGAAAUUUGUCAAUGCCUUCAAUGGAUUCCUCGACGAAUUUCGAAGGCCUCGAUGGAUUUUAAAAUCCAUUAAAGAAUAUUUCUACUAUUAGUUAUAAUUUUAAGUAUUUCCAAAUUAUUACAAAUUUUUUAUUUAUUAUUAAUUUGUUAUACGGUUUUUUUUAAUUUCCUUUAAAUGUUUUAUUAUUUUAAAUGUGUGAAUAAUUUGUUACAUAGUUUUUAAUAGUUUUAUUUUGAAGUUUCAUUAUUUAAAAUUUUUAAAAAAUUUGUUAGAGGGGUGAAUAUUAUGUUACAGGUGAUUAUACUAUAAACGAAACAAUACACUUAUGAUAUGGAUUUUCAAGUAAAUUCUAAAUUUAUAUAAAAUUUUAAUAAUAUACUUAUAAUAUACAGAAAGUUUGUUUUGAUAAAGUAAAAUGGAUUCCAAAUUGAUCAGGUUACCUAUGGAAGUAGGGAUUGGUCCAAAGAGGUUCUUUUGAUAAAGAAAAAUGGAUUUCAAAUUGACCAGGUUACUUGGAAGUAGCGCUUGGUCCAGAGAGGUUGUUUUGAUAAAGAAAAAUGAAUUCCAAAUUGACCAGGUUACUUGUGGAAGUAGGGAUUGGUUUGAAGAUGAUGUUUUGAUAAAGAAAAAUGGAUUCCAAAUUGACCAAGUUACCUAUGAAAAUAGGGAUUGGUACAGAGAGGUUGUUUUGAUAAAGAAAAAAGGAUUUCAAAUUGACCAGGUUACCAAUUGAAUUACGGAUUGGUCUAGAGAGGUUGUUUUGAUUAAGAAAAAUGGAUUUUAAAUUGACCAGGUUACCUAUGGAAGUAGGGAUUGGUUUAGAGAGAUUGUUUUGAUGAAGAUAAAUGGAUUCCAAAUUAACCAAGUUACCUAUGAAUGUGUGGACUGGUCGAGAGAGGUUGUUUUGAUAAAGAAAAAUGGAUUCCAAAUUGAUCAGGUUAUCUAUGGAAGUAGAGAUGUGUCUAGAGAGGUUGUUUUGAUAAAGAAAAAUUGUUUCCAAAUUGAGCAGAUUACCUAUGAUAAUAGGGAUUUGUCCAAAGAAGGUUGUUUUGAUUAAGAAAAAUGAAUUUCAAAUUGACCAAGUUACCUAUGGAAGUAGGGUUGGGUCUAAAGAGGUUGUUUUGAUGAAGAUAAAUAGACUCUAAGUUGAUCAGGUUACUUAUGGAAGUAUGGAUUGGUCCAAAAAGAUUGUUUUUAUAAAGAAAAAUGGAUUCCAAAUUCAUCAGAUUAGUUAUGAAAAUAGAUAUUGGUCCAAAAAGGUUGUUUUGAUGAAAUAAAAUGACUUCCAAAUUAAUCAAAUUACCUAUGGGAGCAAAUUAGAUUUGCCAAUCGACGCAGUGAGGUUCCUGAGUUAUGCUUUGAAGUGUACUCUAAUCUCUUCAAAUUUCAAAAACCUCCAAAAAGUACCGAUGAGAGUUUGAAAACAAAAUAAUGUCAGCGACUUAGAUGAAAGAGAAACAGAAAAAGGAAAGAAAGAGAACACGUUUUUGUCGAAUUAUUGUGCAUAGAAGGAAGUCUUUUGUUUUCCUAUUAGUACCCCAUAAUUUCCAACUACACUCCUUUAUUUUUUUAAAAUAUUUCACUCUUAAAAGGUGAUUUUUGUAUUACUUAUUUUAAAAUAUUUGGAAACAAGUUGUUUAGAAUUUAUGGAUUUCAGAACCGAGUCUUAAAAACAGGUUUAAAUGCAUUUUAGAAGUUUUUCAAAACAAAUGUUUUUGGAAUAUAUCAUAAGUUUUUCGGAAAAAAGUUUUCUAAAACAAACUUUUUAAAACAUAUAAGAUGGAUGCAUUCUAGAAUAGGAUUUUCAAAACAAAAUUUCUAAAAUAAGAUUUGUAGAAUAAGAUUUCUACAAGAUUUCCAAAACAUAUAUGAUAUCUUCUAUGAUGAGUUUUUAGAUAAUUUUCCUACCAAAUCGAUCAUUUUAUCUCUCUUUAUUUUUUUCUCUAAAGAAUGUAGUGGUUAUGAAGUACAGAUAGCAAUUGCGACCACAAGAAUGAGAGGAUAGUUUAAUCCUUUUGCUUUUAGUAUAAGAAUGCAUGUAAUAAUCAUGGGAUGCAAAAAGAAAAGACCACGAAACCCACUAAAAGCUCAACUGAUGACCAUAAAAUAGUGGGUGUUCCUCCCUCCAAGUGGGUCUUGCACCUCUCCACUAUUUUAAUUUAUUUCAAAAAUAUUCUAUACUUUUCCACUAUUUUCUUUUAUUCCAAAAAUACCCUCCACCUCUCCACUAUUCUUAACAACUUUUCUCUUUCUCUCUCUGUAUUAAUGGAGAAUUUAUAUGGCUUAUUAAUGGAACAUUUACAUGACUCAAAUUUGAACUUGUGAUAUAUUUUCUUAAAUAAGUUUGAUUCAAUCUUAUUUUAGUUGUUGAAUAUAUUUUUUCUUUUCAAAUUACUUAGAAAAUGGUAAAAUUUUGUUCUAAAUUUCUAGAAAAAUAUUUAUAUAUGUGUGUGUUUUUUUUACAUAUAAUAUCUAUAAUUUUUAACAUUUUAUUAUGUUUUAAUUCACCAACAUGUUUGACUCAAAUAACUUGAAUAAAAUAUUUCAUUUAUUAGAUAAAUAAUAUAAAAUGUUAUUAAAUACUUAAAAUAUAAAAAAAAGUUAUUUGUUAAAGAUUUAGAAUUUAUUUAGUUCUUUCGUCAUUAUAAAGUUAGUGUAUAAUAAUAAUAAUAUAUCAUUAUUUACUAUUAAUAUUAUGUUUAUUAUUUUGUAUUUGCAUCUAACUUUUAAUUUUAUAAAAUGGAAAUGGUAGAAGUACUAAUAUUGAAGUUUCCUCUGAAUUUUAUAUUUUGUAGUAUAUCUCAAAUUCAAAUCUGAAUCAUGUAAAUGCUCCAUUAAUGCAGAGAGAGAAAGAGAAAAAUUGUUAAGGAUAGUGGGAGGUGUAGGGUAUUUUUGGAAUAAAAAAAAAUAGUGGAGAGGUGUAAAAUAUUUUUGAAAUAAAUGAAAAUAGUGAGAAGAUGCAGGACAAGAUGGAGGGAGCAACACCCUAAAAUAGUUUACAAAUUGAAAUUGGACAAUUUCUUCCAUGUGCACCCCAAGGAGAUAGUUGAAGAGAGUUUCUCUCUACACCUCAAAACGUUUCUUCCUACACCUCCAUCACUUCAUUCAUUCAGUGUCAUCCCCUUCUUCCUCCUUAUAUUCUCUAUUUCUUCGUUGUCAUUUAUUUUAUUUUCUUUCUUGUUUUGGUCCAUUGUUGUUUCAAUUGUUUUAUUCGAGUUUUUCUUUGUGGUCCAUUUCAAGUGGGAUGUUUGUGGUUGGUGUUCUUGAUGCAAGCUUACUUUGCCUUCAAAACCUUUCUCUACGUAAAAAACAAUGCAUGAAAGCUGGCAUUUUUUGUCAAUGAAAAAUUGACUACAAGUCAAUGGAGACGACUCAUUCAAAACUUUAUGAUGGAAUAGUAAAAUAUAUUGAUUUAUAUAAUAUAGGGUUAAAUAUGUUUUAGUCCCUAUACUUUGAGGCGAUUUUGGUUUUAGUCCCUCUUUCAAACUAAGGUACAAUUUAGUCCUUCAACUUUAGAAAACUCUGGUUUUAGUCCUUUUUACCAAAUUUUUUUAACUUUAUUUGUUGUUUCAAGCACGUUUCAUAUAACAUUUGGAUUGUUUACACUGUUUGACACAUUUUUGUUUCAAUGUUAACUGAGAAACGCGUUUGAAACAAUAAAUAAAGUUAAAAAAAUUCGGUAAAAAGGACUAAAACCAGAGUUUUCUAAAGUUGAAGGACUAAAUUGUACCUUAAUUUGAAAGAGGACUAAAACCAAAAUCAUCCCAAAAUAUAGGGACUAAAAACAUAUUUAACCCUACAAUAUAAUUCAACGUGUAUAACAAUGUUUAAUAUAAAACUUACAGUCAACAUAAAUUAUUACAAAAAUAUGAUUAUCAUUCCAAUACAUGCUUAUAAGAAGAUUAGUUGAAUAAUAUUUUUAUUUUUAAAAUCUUAUAUUUUAAUAAUUUUAAGAAAAAAUAACUAUAUAAAUAAGAAAGAGCUUUGUAUAUUAUUGUAUUUUUUUUCCAUUUUUAUAAUUUGAAAGUUUAAAAAUGAAUUUGGAAAUUCCUUAUGAUACUACAUGUGAUUUCAAUAAAAUAGUAAUUGUAUCAUAUAAUUUGUAUCUUACCGUUAUCUGAUAUGUGUCAAUAUAUGUAAUAAAAGUUUGAUACGUUGCUCUUAUCAUAAUUUGAUGCUUUAAACGAGUCGUUUUAAGGGUUUGACAAGCUUUUAUUUAUUGUGUGAUUGAAUUUAUAGGUAAUAAAGUCAUAUUCAUAAAAUGAAAAUUAAGUUAAGCGAAGAAUUGAUGUAUGGAUUUUAUUUUAUAUGUUUUCAAACGUGUUUUUAACUAAUAUUUAAAUAAAAAUGUAUCAAACUGAAUAAAUAAUUCAAAUUUUAUUAUGAAAUAUAUUUGAAAUGUAAAAUAAACUUAACAAAAUUUAAUUAAAAUAAGGAUUAAAUUCAUGUAUUUCUAAAAUUGAGUAACUAAAUUGAAUUAAAGUUUCGAAUAGAAAUUAAUUCUAAUUUUCACUAAACGACCAAAAACAUAUUUAAUCUUAUAUUUUUUGCAUUAUUCAUCAUUUGUAUUUUAGGAUCAUUUUAGUGUUGUUGAAAGUGAUAUUUCCUAUUUUUCCCAUUGUUUUGCAUUAAAGAUGAGCGGAAUCACAUAAGGCAUGAAUACUAUUUUCAAUUCAAAACCUUAAGACAGUGUAUUAAUGGGUCUUCACUUUUAUAAGAUAUUCCACUUUCUCAUUUCUACUCAAUAUAAGACACAUACUUAGAUUCCCGGUAUAAUUUCUAUGUGACUAGGAGGUGUAAUGGUAUAUAUAUUCUGUUAUUCGUGUUAUGAUAUAUAUAUUACAUCCAAUAACUAGAUUGGUUUUUAAGUGAUAGAUAAAAGUUUAGCUGAAAAGUUCCAUUUAAGUCCUUAUUUUUUUGCAAUUCUAGUUUCUUUCAAACAAAAUGAAACAAAAACGUUUAAGACAAAGCUAGUUAUAGCACAUACUAUAUUAAAUAGUAAACUAUAAGUCUAACUGAAGAGGUUUUAAAUAUUAUAAAUUUACUUUUGUCUUUAAUCAAUUUAGAAUCUCUAACAUACCAUUUCAAGUUGAGACAUGUGAACGAUGAUUUAGUUUUCUCCUAUUGGUAAGUCAAAGUAUGGGUGUAACAAAAAUUACUGUUAAAAAGAAAAGCAACAUGUUAAAAAGGCCCGAGAAGAUGUUGGUGUUUUCUUAGACACUUUCGCUCCUGGUGCCAAACUGUGUUGGAGAUCCCAGACAACUUUGCAUUGUACUAUGUCUCAAACAUACAGAAUCCCAUAUCAAUUUUCCAUCGAUGUUGUACACCCGAUUUUGUCAUCUUGAUGUAUAAACUUGUUGAAGUGUAUAAAGAGGUUGUCAUUUCAUCCUCAAUUAUAAUUGCUAUUGGAUAUAUUUGAAUUGGAUACCAAAUAAACAUAUUAAUAACAAUAUUUAAUUGUGAUUACAACAAAAGAAAAAAAAUACAGUACAAAAUAGAAAAUAGCAAGUAAAAUUGAAUGUUGUUUAAUAACUUUACUUUUUACUUACGCACGUUGAAAAGAAUAAAAAUGUAUAUUGCUUCUCUUGCCAACUGAAUUCUUUUAUUAAAUUAAAGAGACUAUUAAAUAACAUUCACGUAACAGAAUACAUAAAAGAAGUGGUAACAGCUAAAAAAUAAAGGUGCCUAAAAAUAAGGCAUUAUUAAGUAACAAAAUCAAAAUAAGUGCCUACAAAUAAGGUAUUAUUAUGCAGAAUAAAAUAUCUUUUCAUUCCCUCCCUUAAACUGACUUCCAGCGUAUCAAUUUAUUUCAGAUAAAUCAACCAUUCCCAUCUUCAUCCUGAGUUUCUGAAAAGCUUCGAGUUUUAAAGCCUUGGUCAUUAUAUCUGCAACCUGUUCGUUAGUUCCACAGUGCAUCAACUCAAUUUCUCCAUCUUGCACAAGAUCUCUUAAAAAAUGAAAACGCACUCUAAUAUGCUUGCUCCUGCCAUGCAUUACUGGAUUUUUUGAAAGUUUAAUGGUUGAACUAUUGUCACACAUAAUAAUAGUGCUAGUGUCCUGAAUAUAAGUUAAGUUUCCCAACACUCUUUUCAUCCACAUUGCUUGAUAGUGGCAACAACUGCUACAAAUUCUGCCUCUGUACUUGAGAGAGUAACAAUUGGUUGUUUCUUGGACAUCCAUGUUACUGCACCUGAACUUAGCAAAAAUACAUAACCAGAAGUGCUUUUAGAAUCAUCCUCAUCUCCUGCAUAAUAAGAAUCUGUGAAAGCAAGCAUAUUUUCUUCUUUAACAGCUUCCUCAAAUAAAAUUGGAUCUUCACUUGUGACAUCUUGUACUAUAUAGGCUGCUAUCUCAGCUUCAUCUUCUUCACUUAAUCCUUCUCCAAUAACAAAUUCUUCCAUGCAACUUGGUUGUCUUCUUUCUCUCCCUUGAAUUACGUGUUCCUGUGAAUUCACUAUUGCUUCAUUUUGAAUGACACUUUCCUCAUUAUGCUCAUUAUGCUCAUUAUUCGCACCAUCACUAUCAACUUCAAUAUUUUCUUCAAAUUCAUCAAUAUGUAACUUAUCAUCAUCACCCCAUAACAACUCAGUUUCUAUUUGCUCUUUAUAAUUUGGACCCUAAUCCCAACUCUUCUCUUCUUCAAAUAUAACGUCUUUACUAAUAACAAUCCUCUUUGUCUUAGGAUUAAAUAGACGAUAACCCUUNGACUNUUCACUAACNCCCAAUAAAAUACAAGGAAAACUUUUAUCAUCAAGCUUACCUCUUUUUGCCUCUGGUAUGUGCACAUGAGCCAGGCAUCCCCAAACUCGAAGAUGGUUUAUUGAAGGUUUGAUUCCACUCCAAGCUUCUUGUGGAGUUAUGUUCCUCACAGCAUGCGUUGGACAUCGAUUCAAUAAAUAAAAGGUCCAGUUUACAGCUUCAGGCCAAAAUAACUCAGGAACCUUUUUGGCAGAGAGCAAACAACGUACCAUAUUCAUAAUAGUUCUGUUUUUGCGCUCUGCAACUCCGUUUUGAUGCGGUGUAUAAGUUGUGGUAAGUUGCCUUUUUAUUCCAUGUUCUUCACAAAAUAGCUUGAAUUGAAGAGAGUUAAACUCCCCUCCUCUAUCCGUUCGUAAGCAUUUGAUGGAUGCUUCAACUUUCUUUUCCAUCAUUUUCUUGUAGGAUUUGAAACACUCCAAAGCUUCAGAUUUUUCAGAGAGCAAAUACACCCAACCUUUACGACUAUAAUCAUAAGCUUAAAAAAUACCUUUUUCCACUAUUUGAAAUGGGUUCUAUUAGACCGCAAAUAUCUGCAUGUAUGAGUUCCAAGACCUUGCUAGCGUGCCAUUUACUUGUCUUAGGAAUUGGAUUACGAUGUUGUUUUCCAGCGAAGCAAUCAACACACGUGAUACUAGAGUCACUGGGUUCAGGCAGUCCAUGAACCAUUUGUCGUGUUUGUAGUGUCUUCAAGCCUUUGUAGUUUAUGUGGCCAAACCUUUGAUGCCAAAGGUAAGUGAGGUCAGAGGAGGUGUGUAGACAUUCUUCAAUGGAUAGGGUGAUAGAUCUUUCAUUGACGAAAAUGAACAUACGGUUGCUGCUCAUUUUUGUAUAUGCGAUCAAACCUUUAGACGGAUGAUAGAUGUUGCAUGUUCCUUUUUGUAUAAGAAUAGCAAGACCCUUUUCUUGUAAUUGUCCCAUGCUUAACAAAUUUUUUUGAAGCUCUGGGACAUAGUACACAUCUAAGGAAGGUUGUGCCAUUAAACGUCAAUCUGACACUUCCUAUUCCAAGGACAAUCAUCUAAGAAUUGUUUCCACAUUUGACAAAAUGUUGAUCUCCAUAAGCCAAAUCUACAAACAUACCUUUAUAACCACACAUAUGAUUAGAACACCCUGAAUCCAAAAACCAUGCGUCACUCCUUUUGGAUUCCUUUUCUACAGUAGCCAUCAGAAGAAGUUCUUCUGUUUCAUCUAACUCUGCAUAAUUUGCUUCUCCUUUGUUCCAUUGAGGACAUUCAUACUGAAAAUGUCCCAAGUGGUGACACUUGAAGCAUUCCACAGUGGCUUUUGAAGAAAAUUGUCUCCUUCUUCCCCGUCCACGACCACGAUAUGUUCUUCUUCCUCUACCUCUACCGCGGCUACUUUCUGAUGUGAGUACUUGUUCAUUAUCUUGGUAGACCUUUAUAAACUUUUGCUCAUGGACUACCAAGCAGCUUUGAAGUUCGUCCAUAGACAUUUUCUCUGUGUCCUUCGACUCUUCGAUCGAAACCACGAUAUAGGUGAAACGUGGUGUCAACGUUUGAAGUAUUUUUUCAACCACCUUUGAAUCGGACAUAAGUUCUCCAUUGCUUCUCGUUUUGUUUGCCACUGCCAUGACUCUAGCAAAAUAUUUUGUGAUGGUUUCUAAUUCUGUCAUUUCAAGCACCUCAAACUCCCUUCUCAAUGCAUUGAGCAUUGAUUUCUUCACACGAUCAUUUCUUCCAUAUUUUCUUUUCAAGGAAUCCCAAACAAUCUGAGAUGUGUUCCUAUCCAGAAUUUGUUCGAAAAUUGAUCGAUCAAUGGCCCUGAAAAGGUAAUGUUUGACUUUGUGAUCUUCAAUUUUGGAUUUCUCCAAUUGCUCUGAUUCUUCACAAGACAGAACAGUACCCUCCAUAGGCUCUUCAACACCAUUCUAAAUCAGAUUCCAGAGACCCUUGGCACAUAAAAAAUUCUCCAUCAGUUCACUCCAAUGAUCAUAAUGUUGACCGUCAAAGUAAGGAAUUUUUGAGGAGAAUUUAUCAUUAUUCAUCUUCGUAAGCUGCAGCUUCUGUAUCAGGCCCACUAGGAGCUCUGAUACCAGUUUGAAAAGAAUAAAAAUGUAUAUUGCUUCUCUUUCCAACUGAGUUCUUUUAUUAAAUUAAAGAGACUAUUAAAUAGCACUCACGUAACAUAAUACAUGAAAGAAGUGGUAAUAGCUAAAAAAUAAAUGUGCCUAAAAAUAAGGCAUUAUUAAGUAACAGAAUCAAAAUAAGUGCCUACAAAUCAGGCAUUAUUGUGCAGAAUAAAAUUUCUCUUCACACGUAAAUUGAGAUGUUGAGUCCAUCCACUUAAGAUGAGCUUUACACUACAAGCUCAUUGACAACCUCUUUCAUAGUAGGGCGAGAUCGUGGACUUUCAGUCAUGCAGGAAACUGCUAUCUUCGCAACUGAUGCCACCUCUUUAAGUAAACGUUUAGUUGGAGGAGGGAGACGCUGCUCCAACUUAUCCAUCAAUGUCAUAUGAUCAGCAGUGGAUGAAGAUGAUAAUAAGGAAGAUAUAAAAUCACCAGGAUGCUUUCCCAGAAGUAUUUCCAAUGCCAACACUCCAAAACUAUACACGUCACAUUUCUCAUUCACUUCCAUUGUGUAUGCAAGUUCUGUAACAAACUAAAGCUGAUAUCAUAUAAAAAAAAAGGGAAGGUAGUGACAAUGAUAAAAUAUAUAUAGAUAAUUGUAACCGUCAAAGAGAAACUUAAAAUAUGAGAUCCUCAACAAGUACAAGGAAAGAAAAUUGACCUGGAGCGGCAUAUCCGAAGGUUCCUACAAAUGAGGUCCAAUUGGAUGAAUUGGGAUUAAGAAACUUGGUUGUUCCGAAAUCUGAGACAUGUUCCACAUAUUCNAAAUCCAAAAGGACAUUUUUACUUGAUAUAUCACGAUGAAUAAUUGGUGGUGANCAAUCAUAAUGCAUGUANAAUAAAGNAUUUGNUANAUCUUUAAUAACAUUCACUCUCUUAUUCCAAUCAAANGCAAUUGCUUGUUCAUCAUCCUUCAAAAUAUUCUGGACAUUGCCCUUCUCCAAGAAUUCACAAACCAUAAAUGACCGUUGGGAAUGUGAACAAAACCCAUAUAAGGUUACAAUGUUACGAUGCCGAAUUUCUGUCAGAGCUUGGAUCUCACUUGUGAACGCUUUCACAUUGAGCUUUUCUUCAUUUGGAACUGAAUGCAAUUUCUUUACAGCCACAACUUGACCUGAGGGUAACAUUGCUUUGUAAACUUGUCCUUGUCCUCCAACUCCAAUGAGAUGCUUAUCGUCAAAAUUUUCAGUGGCUUCAACAAUAUUUUCAAAUACAAUUUUGCCAUCAAAACUCCAUAUUGCAAAUGUGUUUAGAGUUUGUAAAUUGAUAGGUUGCUCUUCCAUUUUCAUUGAAGUUUUACAUAAAUAAUUCAAGACUCCGAAAAGAAACAAUGCCAGCAUUACAGUGCCCGAAGUAAGGGGUAGAACCAUUGUUAUGACUUUCUUUGUCAUAUGCUUAUGUGAUUUCCCACUUAGUGUUAGGCAAGGCUUUAAGCCACUAACAUUUCCACACAAGCCUUUAUUAUUUCUUACUGCGUCCAUUGUAGCAUUGCCAAUGGUCUGGAAUUAUUAGAUCCAAGACUCAAAAUUUGAAGAUUCUUCAUUGAUACAAUCUCUAUGGGAAUAUUUCCUAAAAGAUUAUUGUUGUUGAGUGAUAGACGAAACAACAAAACCAAUAAUUUAGAUAAAUCUUGUGGAAUGCUUCCUGUAAGAUGAUUUGAGGAUAACUGAAGUUCACGUAAUUCGGUUGCCUCGCUUAGUUCUGGUGGGAUAACACCUGAUAAGUUAUUGUUAGAGAUCUUGAGGCUUGUGAGGCUACGGAACUUCCCCCAAUUUGGUGAAAGAUGACCAUAAAAAUUGUUUUCACUCAAUUCGAUGUAAACCAAGUUUGGAAGUACACCAAAAGCAUAUAUUAUGUUUCCACUUAGUUGAUUUUCCUCAAGUCUCACUCGUACAAAACUAGAGCAAUUCUUCAAACUCUCUGGAAUAUGGCCAGUGAAAUGGUUAUUGCUAGCGGAAAAUUUUGCCAACAUUCCACCAACACAAAUGUUGUGAGGUAAAUGGCCGACAAAAUUAUUAUCAGCGAGCUGCAAAUUUUCCAAAGCAAUAAUCCUGUUCAUUUGUAUUGGAAUAUUGCCACUGAGAUAAUUUUCAAUCAAAUUCAAUUUGUGAAGCUUUGACAUAUUUCCAAUAGUGGAAGGAAUGUAUCCAGAAAGUUUGUUUUGAUAAAGUAAAACGGAUUCCAAAUUGACCAGGUUACCUAUGGAAGUAGGGAUUGGUCCAAAGAGAUUAUUGCCCAGCAACUGGAUUGUUAGAAGGGAAUGCAAAUUUCCUAUUUCAUCCGGGAUAAAGCCAGAUAAUUGGUUGUCAUAAAGGUAAAGAUAACUUAGAUUGCUCAAGUUUCCAAUUGUGGAAGGGAUUUUACCAGAGAGAAUAUUCUCAAACCAAACAAGUUCACUGAGUUUUCUCAAAAAUCCAAUUUCAGGAGGAAUAAAACCUGACAAUUGGUUUCCUUCAAGGAAAAGUUUAUUUAGGUUGCUCAAAUAUCCAAUUUCACGAGGAAUAGAGUCAGAGAGAUUAUUACUUUGAAGAUAUAGCCUCUUGAGGUUGACCAACUUACCAAUUUCACUAGAAAUAUGACCAGAAAGUUUAUUGUCAUGUAAGCUGAGAAGUGAUAGAUUGGUCAAAGCUCCAAUUGAAAUAGGUAUGGACCCAAAAAGAUCAGAAGAACUCAUGUCGAGCUCUAUUAAUUUCCCCAACAUCCCAAUUUCUUGGGGGAUGGUGCCUGUAACACCCCUUCUCGGAGUGUCACAGAUUUUUUUUUUUUAAAUACACGUUCACAUUUAAAACCACACAUUUAUUAAUAUUAUACAUUGAGAACAUCAGAGUUUUUCAAGAACAAUUAUUGGAUUACAGACCAAAUCAUAAAAGUAUAUUAAAAUUAAAAACCACAACGUUCCAUGAUUUAAAAUACAUAUUUAAAAAUCCCAAAGAGUGUUUCCCCAACGCAUCCUCGCACUAAACGUCUUCAGUUUUACCUGAAACAUCAUCUACUCCCGUAUAACGACACGAGUUAUACGAUCAUCGUAGACACACAAGUAGGGUGAGCUAACAGAAAAAUAUGAGUUACAGAUAAACCUACUUACAUACUUUGAAUAAUAUUAUUAAUGUAAACAUACUACCAUCACGUAUACUUCAGACACUACUCACUUCUCAUCUGACUCUAAUCACUUCUCAUUUCUCACGUAUCUAUGGAAUUUAUCUCGAUUUUUUUCGCAUUUGUUAAGUUUAUGCCACAACCAGUCCCUCAUAUGGACCGCGGAUAAGAGUCGUCCUACGCACACCACAUUGGACAUAUCUCCCUAAUUCUUCAAGGGCUUACGAGUAAAAACAUUGGUGAGUAACAUCCAUUCACCAAGCACAAUACUCAGCACAAGUCAGAAACUCUUGGCGAGAUAUUUGUACCCUCUAGAAAGAGGAAAAGUAACAGGACUCGAAUCCACUUAUCGCCUUACAUAGGCAAAAAGGAAAUCAUCAUUUUUAACUACCGAGAUAAAUAUAAAUCAUCCCAAUGAUACGAUAAGAUUAGAGAAUCAAAAAGGAUUAUCUAUUAGACUAAAAGAACUCAACAUCCAUUAACUUAAAUUAAAUCUAAAAUACAUUCAGAAUAACGUGUUGUCUACUUUGACCUUGGCUCAAUGUUUUACUCGUAAUUUUUCUCUACAGUAUUCCAACUGAAGAGAUUCUUGUUUUGUUGGAUUCUAAACUCAAGAAUCUUUUCUUAGACACCAGACUAGUAAAAUAUCCUUCAUUACAAUUUUAAUAUUUAAAAUAUUCAACACAAAAAGUAUUGGUAAGCUACCAAAAACAUAAUUUUCAUAUAAACGUUCUGGAAAACCAAGAAGUUGAAUCUGGCAAAGCCGGUUAGACAUCUUCUUAUCCUUCCAGAUAGAUGUAAUAGAAAAAGGAUAUACACUCAAUAAUUCAUACAAACAUCAUAAAAUCCAUUCAUCCCAAAAAAAAAAAUCAUACAAAUUAAAUAUAUCACAAAAUAAUUUAACUGCACAUAAUCUGUUUGAUAAGAAUUAGUUAAAAACACAACGAGUAGACUUCCAGGAAAGAGAGGUGUGUCACAAUGGACAACUUAAGUACCAGGUCUUUCCUUAGCCAAAGUGUUCCUCAAUGUGUUAUUAACAGAUUUCUUAUUCACAGAUUCAAAACAACAGCAUAUAAUAUUAUCACAGAAAUUCAAAUAGUUAUGCAACAAGCACAUAGGUUUUUCAUUAAUAGUAAUUGCACAAAAUUUCAAGACAUGAAUAGUUAUAAAAAAAUAUUUUAUAAAUAAAUAAAAAAACUUAGAAAGGUUAGCUCCCCUUACCUCUAUUUUAGACUCAAUUCCUUCCUCCGAAGUUGUUCCCCCCGAAAAUCUUCCAGAACCCCUACUCUUCUAAAAUUUUCUUCCUAACUCUUUCUUCUCAAGAUUUCUCACUUGAUUCUUCCUCUCUUUAUGCAGAAUGAGCUCUCCUCCCAUGGCUAUUUAUAGUCCAAAAAAUUUUACUAUUUAAAUUAUUUUAAUAUUAUUUUAUUAAUAUUUUAAUCACCACUUGCAAAUCUUAUCCUUUCUUAAUAAUGCAACUCAAUGAUUCUUAUCCUUUCAUUAUUUUAUUUUUAUUAUUAUUAUUAUUAUUUUUUUUUACUAUUCACGUUUUACUAUUCACUUUUUACUAUUCACUUUUUUUUUUUAACAAAACCUUCUAAAAUAGGUUCUCAAAAUUUUAAACCCCUUCUUAUGAAAUUAUUAUAAUUUUCUAUCAUAAUCUAAAUGUUUCUAACCUUAACUAUAUUUUCCAUUCAUUAAAAUUAUUAUUACUAAUAAUAAUGCUAAAAUUUACUAUUAUUUAUAAAUAUUUUACAUGGGUCUUACAGUGCCAGAAAGGCCGCUUUCCCCAAGAUAUAGGAUCUCCAGGUUUCUCAUAUUCACAAUUUCUUUGGGAAUGGAAACAUGGAAGUUAUUAAUUGUAAGUGAUAAAUGGUUUAGGUCAAUGUGCAAAUUCUCUGAGGAAUGCUGCCAAAAAGGUUGUUGCCUGCUACAUCUAGAUGAAUCAAAUUGUUCAACUUUUCUAUAGAGAUUGGGAUUGUCCCUGUGAGAUUGCAAAAAGGAACAUGAAGCAUUCUCAGCUCCCUUAAUCUCCCUAUUUCUUGGGGAAGGGACUCACUGAAAGUAUUAUAACUCAUGUUCAACUUCUGAAGGCUAAUCAACUGUGUUAUUUCAGAAGGGAUAAUCCCAGAGAGUUUAUUAGCAGACAAAUCAAGAACAACUAGAUUGGACAGAACUCCAAUUUAAGGAGGAAUACUUCCAAUCAGAAAGUUGUUAGUGAUCACAUGCAAUUCCGAGCCAAUUGCAAGAAGUGUUAGCAGUCCAUGAAAAGAGAGAAGCUUGACUCUGCUUGUCAAGGCUGGCUUUCCACUUCACCAGAGCAUUUGCUUCUGAAGCAAUUCCGGAAGAAUUGAAAGCAUGAGAAUGGGGAAUGCAGAAAACAACAUUAGAAGAAGCAACCAAAAGGGUUGGAACUUCAUCGACAGAAGCGUUGGAAAUAUGAACAUCAUACUGAAUUGUUCACACAGCUACUUAGGUUCGACACACACAUAGAUCUCCACACAUGAUAAGAUAUUGUCCGCUUUGGGCCAAGCCCUCACGGUUUUGCUUUUGGUGCCACUCCAAAAGGCAUCUUAUCAGCCUUCACGGGUUUGCUUUUGGUACCACUCCAAAAGGCCUCUUAUCAUUGGAGGAAUGUAUGUGUAUUUAAACCCUUGACCAGCCCUUCUUUUACUCGAUGUGGGACUUUGUUUGCAUUCCAACAUUUUUUUUUCCUCAAAUUGAGUCUUAUUAUUCAUUGAUAAUUGAAGGGCUUUAAAUAGCCAUGAUACUUACAAUAUCAUGGAAAUAAAAAUAAAAUCUGAAAAUAAAAUAUCAACUGACUUAAAAAUAAAAUCUCCUUAACCUAUCAUACAAUAAUAUUCUAUCUAAUAAACAGAAAAUCAUAACUACUCAUUCAUAUUUUAUCUCUAUCAAAUCAAACCAAAUAUUACUAGACUCAAAACUAAUAAAAUAAUAUUUAAACAAAAUUAUUAAUAAAACCCUAAAAUUUAAGUUUAUCUCAAGUUUAUCUCAACAAACUCCCCCAUAAACUUAAAUUCUUCCUUCCUUGCUUUCCAUGUGCAUCAUCCCACACCGGGUUUGUUUCUUCUCUCCAAGAUUUUCAGCUCUGGUUCUUCUUUGCUUUUACCUGGGUUGUUAGACGACCAUGCUUAACCUUUAAGUACACAAAUUUGGCCUCCACCUUGGUGAGUUCACAAAAAAAGUUCUCGUUCCCACACAUAUGAUUGCUUGCUCCAGUAUCUAGAUACCAUACUGAGUUGGUAGAAAUCUCAUCGGCCUUCAUCUCUUCUUCAUCUUCUUCCCUAGAUGUUUUCUCUUCCUUUUCAGGAGCUGUCUUCCUCAGUUCCUCAAGCUCAACCCUCUGUUUAUUCGUAAUUUCAUUAGCUUCAUCUAGAAGCCUCCUUAUUCGCCGAAUCUCUUCAUCUUUUCCUUUGAGUUCUUUCUCCAGGUUUUCCUUCUCCACAAUUGUUGCAUCCUUUACCGAGAUCACUUCAUCCAUUGUUGGGAUUGGGCUCUCCAUGUCCACUACAUCCAAGAUCUUUGCUAUCAACAAUUCUUCUGCAUCUUCUUCUGCAUAUUCAGUAACGAGAUUCGUCUCCCCCUUUGUCUUGGUCUCGCAAUACCUUGAAAUAUGAUCAAACUUGCCACAGUUGUAGCACCUUGUUGCCCAACACUCGUUUUCAUAGUGGUCGCACUUGCCACACCUAAAACACUCUGCCCUUGACCGAUCUCCUCGGUAUUUUCCUUGUCUUCGAUCAUGCCAAUUCUGUUGACCGGUUUGAUCUUCAUUGCCUCUACCACGUCCACCUCGUCCUCGGCCUCCUCGCCAUCUUCCACCAGGACCUCGGCUCUGAGUAAUCUGAGAUUUAUCAAAGUCCCACAUCGAGUAAAAGAAGGGCUGGUCAAGAGUUUAAAUACACAUAGAUACCUCCAAUGAUAAGAGGCCUUUUGGAGUGGUACCAAAAGCAAAUUCGUGAGGGCUUGGCCCAAAGCGGACAAUAUCUUAUCAUGUGUGGAGAUCUAUGUGUGUGUUAAACCUCCCCCAACAGUGGUAUCAGAGCCCAUGGUUCUGGUCUGGUGACCGAGCUCAAACGAGUACGUCCUCCCAUGAUCAGGUGAGUCAGGCAGGAGGCCAGUGGCCACCGGAUGAAUCAUGAGAGGUGGGGAGAGCAAGAGAUGCUCAUUGUGACCAUGGAUCAUGAGGGCUUGGCCCAAAGCGGGCAAUAUCUUAUCAUGUGUAGAUAUCUAUGUGUGUGUCAAACCUCUCCAACAAUUAUCUAUACAUUAUCUGUAUGUGUUCCAUAAUUUUUCGUCCUUAAUACGACUGUAAGUUUCUUGCACUUAAAUUUAUUAAAGUUAUUGUCUUAUCAUCAUUUAAUAACACAAAUUUGAAAGUGAAAAUAAAUCAUUUUCAAAUAAGAAGAUAUAAAAAACAACUUUCAAAUUUAGGGAUUAUAAAAAUAUUUUUAAAUUUGGAGGACUAAAAUAUUUUAAUUUGCAGAAAUUAAAAUGUAAAUUUUAUAUUUUGAGUGGUUAAAAAAUCACUUUUAAAUUUAACGGACUAAAAUAAAGUUUAAUACAAAUUUUAGAGAAUAAAAACAUUUUAGCCGGAAAAUUCUUGAAAAUGUAUUUCCACAUUAUUAUUUUACGGACAUGAUCCAGAUGUUGUUAGGCACGUUAACCAUCUUAACAACUAAUGUAACGAUAUUAUAUUAUUGAUGAGGAACAAAAGGAUUAUUUUUAGAAUUUUAAAAUUAAAAAUAAUUUUUAAUUUAGGAAUCUAAAUCAGAAAAAAAAAAUCAAAUUUAAAGAUUAAAAGUAUUUAUUUUUACAGUGCAUUAUUUUUCUUUCUUUGCAUUUAUUCAUCCAUUUUAAUCCUUCAUUAUCAGUGCAUCUAUUUUUACAGUCUAUGUUUUCAUUACAGUAUCUUGCAUUCAUUGAUUAGUUUUAGUAAAUACAUGCAUUAUUAGAUAGUUUUAUAUUUUAGAUUUCAGUUUUACAAUUUUCUCUCCACCUACUUUUUAGUAAAUAAGUAUUUAGGCUUAAUUCUACAGUUUCUAAACUUGAUAAGUACCAAGUCCACGGAUUGAUCCUUGGUUGACCCCUAUAUUACAUUAGUGGGGAAAUUUAAGGUUUGUUGACUUUUGUGCGACCAAAAGCCUUUCAACAACAACCAACUUAACAUAUGAGACUAAAUUGACACAAAUUGAAUAACAUGGGGACCCAAUCUAUAUAUUUUUAAAAGAGGGUACUAAACUGAAAAUUUCCUCUUAACAUGGGGACCAAUUAAGGAUUUAAGUCCAUAUAAUUAUUAACAAUAUUUAAUUAUGAUUAUAUCUCAUAGUAUCUCGCAGUUACAAGUUUAAAGUAACACAAAUUAACAUAUAAAAAUUCAACACAAAAAAGAAAAUAGCAAAUAAUAAAACCCACCCUCUUUAUAAACUUCAAUCUUUAGCUAUACACGUAUGUUGCAAUCUUGACUCCAUUCAUGGAAGAUGUGAGCUUUACAUUACAAGUUCAUUGGCAACCUCCUUCAUAUUAGGACGAGAUCGUGGACUUUCAGUCAAACAAGCAACUGCUAUCUUUGCAAUUGAUGUCACUUCUUUAACUGAACAUUUUGUUGGAGGAGGAAGACGCUGGUCCAACUUCUCCAUCAAUGUCAAGUGAUCAAGUGUUAAGGCCACACUUGUGGAUGAAGAUGAUAAAGAGGAAGAUAUAAAAUCAGCAGGAUGCUUUCCAAGAAGUAUUUCCCAUGCCAACACUCCAAAACUAUACACGUCACAUUUCUCAUUCACUUCCAUUGUGUAUGCAAGUUCUGUAACAAACUAAACCUUNNNNNNNNNNNNNNNNNNNNNNNNNNNNNNNNNNNNNNNNNNNNNNNNNNNNNNNNNNNNNNNNNNNNNNNNNNNNNNNNNNNNNNNNNNNNNNNNNNNNNNNNNNNNNNNNNNNNNNNNNNNNNNNNNNNNNNNNNNNNNNNNNNNNNNNNNNNNNNNNNNNNNNNNNNNNNNNNNNNNNNNNNNNNNNNNNNNNNNNNNNNNNNNNNNNNNNNNNNNNNNNNNNNNNNNNNNNNNNNNNNNNNNNNNNNNNNNNNNNNNNNNNNNNNNNNNNNNNNNNNNNNNNNNNNNNNNNNNNNNUCACGAUGAAUAAUUGGUGGUGAGCAAUCAUAAUGCAUGUACAAUAAAGCAUUUGCUACAUCUUUAAUAACAUUCACUCUCUUAUUCCAAUCAAAUGCAAUUGCUUCUUCAUCAUCCUUCAAAAUAUUCUGGACAUUGCCCUUCUCCAAGAAUUCACACACCAUAAAUGACCAUUGGUAAUGCGAACAAAACCCAUAUAACUUUACUAUGUUACGAUGGCGAAUUUCUGUCAGAGCUUGGAUCUCACUUCUGAAAGCUUUCACAUUGAGCUUUUCUUCAUUUGGAACUGAAUGCAGUUUCUUUACAGCCACAACUUGACCUGAGGGUAACAUUGCUUUGUAAACUUGUCCUUGCCCUCCAACUCCAAUGAGAUGCUUAUCGUCAAAAUUUUCAGUGGCUUCAACAAUAUUCUCAAAUACCAUUUUGCCAUCAAAACUCCAUAUAGCAAAUGUGUUUGAAGUUUGUAAAUUGGUAGCUUCCUCUUCCAUUUUCAUUGAAGUUUUACAUAAAUAAUACAAGACUCCAAUAACAAACAAUGCCAGCAUUAGAGUGCCCAAAGUAAGGGGUAGAACCAUUGUUAUGACUUUCUUUGUCAUAUGCUUAUGUGAUUUCCCACUUAGUGUUAGGCAAGGCUUUAAGCCACUAACAUUGCCACACAAGCCUUUAUUAUUUCUUACUGCGUCAAUUGUAGCAUUGCGAAAGACUGGAAUGUUUGGAAGUGGACCCUCAAAAUCAUUGUAAGAUAUAUCAAUAGAUGUCAAGCUCAUCAUUUCAUCAAAGAUAGAAAGAUCACCUGAGAGACUAUUGUGAGAGAGAUUCAAUGUUUCUAAUUUUUUUAACCCUCCAAGCACAUGUGUUAAUGUUCCCCUCAACAAAUUUUCGCUGAGAUCAAGAGUUGUAAGAGAUAUUAAUUUGCCAAGCUCUAAGGGAAUAUUUCCCUCAAAUUUGUUCUGACUCAAAUUCAUUUCCAAUAAACUGAGCAAAUUUCCAAGUUGGCCUGGAAUUAACCCAGACAAAUUAUUAGAUCCAAGCCUCAAAAUUUGAAGAUUCUUCAUUGAUGCAAUUUUUGAGGGAAUAUUUCCUGAAAGAUUAUUGUUGUUGAGUGAUAGACUAAACAACAAAACCAAUUUAGAUAAAUCUUGUGGAAUGCUUCCUGUAAGAUGAUUUGAGGAUAACUGAAGUUCACAUAAUUCGGUUGCCUCGCUUAGUUCUGGUGGGAUAACACCUGAUAAGUUAUUGUUUAAGAUCUUGAGGCUUGUGAGGCUACGAAACUUCCCCCAAUUUGGUGAAAGAUGACCAUAAAAAUUGUUUUCACUCAAUUCGAUGUAAACCAAGUUUGGAAGUACACCAAAAGCAUCUGUUAUGUUUCUAGUUAGUUGAUUUUCCUGAAGUCUCACUCGUAGAAGGCUAGAGCAAUUCUUCAAACUCUCUGGAAUAUGGCCAGUGAAAUGGUUAUUGCUAGCGGAAAAUUUUGCCAACUUUCCACCAACACAAAUGUUGUGAGGUAAAUGGCCAACAAAAUUAUUAUCAACCAGCUGCAAACUUUCCAAAGCAAUAAUCCUGUUCAUUUCUAUUGGAAUCUUGCCACUGAGAUUAUUGUCAAAUAAAAUGAAUUCGUGAAGCUUUGACAAAUUUCCAAUAGUGGAAGGAAUGGAUCCAGAAAGUUUGUUUUGAUAAAGUAAAACAGAUUCCAAAUUGACCAAGUUACCUAUGGAAGUAGGGAUUGGUCCUGAGAGAUUAUUGUCAAAUAAAAAUAAUUGACGAAGCUUCGACAAAUUUCCAAUAGUGGAAGGAAUGGAUCCAGAAAGUUUGUUUUGAGAAAGAGAAACGGAUUCCAAAUUGACCAGGUUACCUAUGAUAGUAGGAAUGGGUCCAGAGAGGUUGUUUUGAUCAAGUAAAAUUGAUUUCAAAUUGACCAGGUUACCUAUGGAAGUAGGGAUUAGUCCAAAGAGGUUGUUUUGAGAAAGAGAAAUGGAUUCCAAAUUGACCAGGUUACCUAUGGAAACAGGGAUUGGUCCAGAAAGAUUGUUUUGAUGAAGUAAAAUAAAUUCCAAAUUGACCAGGUUACCUAUGGAAGUGGGAAUUGGUCCAGAAAGAUUGUUUUGAUGAAGUAAAAUAGAUUCCAAAUUGACCAGGUUACCUAUGGAAGUAGGAAUUGGUCCAGAGAGAUUAUUGCCCAGCAACUGGAUUGUUAGAAGGGAAUGCAAAUUUCCUAUUUCAUAUGGGAUAAAGCCAGAUAAUUGGUUGUCAUAAAGGUAAAGAAAGUUUAGAUUGCUCAAGUUUCCAAUUGUGGAAGGGAUUUUACCAGAGAGAAAAUUCUGAGACAAAUCAAGUUCACCGAGUUUUCUCAAAAGUCCAAUUUCAGGAGGAAUAGAGCCUAAAAAUUGGUUUCCAUAAAGGUUAAGACUAGUUAGAUUGAUCAACUUACCAAUUUCACGAUGAAUGUGUCCAGAAAGAUUACAAUGGCCUAUGUCGAGAUAUACUAGUUUCCUCAGCAUGUAAAUUUCUUGGGGCAUGGUGCCAGAAAGGCCACUAUCCCCAAGAUAUAGAAACUCCAGGUUCCUCAUAUUCACAAUUUCUUUGGGAAUGGAACCAUGGAAUUUAUUAGUUCCAAAUGACAAAUACUUUAGGUCCAUGUGCCAAAUUCUCUGAGGAAUGCUGCCAGAAAGGUUGUUGGAUCCUAUAUCUAGAUGAAUCAAAUUGUUCAACUUUUCUAUAGAGAUUGGGAUUGUCCCUGUGAGAUUGCAAUAAGGAAC
rnacentral:lncRNA from 1 species